UACGAAGGGGGCUAGCGUUGCUCGGAAUGACUGGGCGUAAAGGGCGCGUAGGCGGAGUGCUUUGUCGGGCGUGAAAUUCCAGGGCUCAACCUUGGGGCUGCGUUCGAGACGGGCAUUCUUGAGUGGGGAAGAGGGUCGUGGAAUUCCCAGUGUAGAGGUGAAAUUCGUAGAUAUUGGGAAGAACACCUGAGGCGAAGGCGGGUUGCUGGGCCGACACUGACGCUGAGGCGCGAAAGCCAGGGGAGCAAACGGG
rnacentral:rRNA from 1 species